GAUGAACGCUAGCGACAGGCCUAACACAUGCAAGUCGAGGGGCAGCACAUGAGUAGCAAUACGAUGGUGGCGACCGGCGCACGGGUGAGUAACACGUAUGCAACCUACCUGUAAGAGGGGAAUAACCCGGAGAAAUUCGGACUAAUACCGCAUAAUACCAAGAGACUGCAUGGUUUCUUGGUUAAACAUUUAUGGCUUACAGAUGGGCAUGCGUAUGAUUAGCUAGUUGGUGAGGUAACGGCUCACCAAGGCAACGAUCAUUAGGGGUUCUGAGAGGAAGGUCCCCCACACUGGUACUGAGACACGGACCAGACUCCUACGGGAGGCAG
rnacentral:rRNA from 1 species